AUGCUGGAUCUCCCGGAUUAUCUAAUACCAAGACUAAAGAUGCGAUUCCAGAAUGUAGAGAAAGCAAGGGAAUUUUACAACAGAUACGCCAGACACGCUGGUUUUGGAAUUAGUAAGACGGGAGGGAAUGACAAUCACAUGUAUUUUGUUUGUGCGUUCCAAGGGAAACACACAAAUUCUGUUUCAGAGGCUGACAGGAAGCGAAACAAAACAUCACAGAGGACAGGCUGCAAUGCAAGAAUGAGGGUGAAGGUGCAGGAGGAUAACACAUGUGUGGUAGUGGACAUUGAGUACAAUCAUAAUCACCACCUCAUGUAAACUGAUGACAUGCUAGUAUUUGUGCACUCACACAAGAAUUAUGACCCCACUAUUUUGGAGUACGUAAAGCUCUUGUAGUACCAUGAUGUCAAACAUACAACAAUCAUGUCCAUGCUGUCCGAAAAUGAAUAUGGAAGCUACUUCCUAAGCAUGACCGGACGAGACCUACUAAACGAGAAAGCCAUGAAUGCAAGGAAAGAUGAUUUGGAUAAUGUAUUGAAACUUGUAUCCUUCUUUAAAGACAUGAAGGCAAUCAAUGAUGAGUUUUUCUAUGACAUACAAGUAGACAACGACAAAUCAAUUAAAAACAUCUUCUGGUCCAAUGCAAGCCGCUGAGGAGCAUAUUAAGACUUUGGUGAUUACGUAACAUUGGACACAACUUACAAGACUAACAGAUUUCAUAUGCCUCUGGGAGUAUUUGUUGGAACAAACCAUCAUUUGCAGUCAACGAUAUUUGUUGUUGCCCUGAUCAGAGAUGAAGAUGCAAAGUCAUUCAAGUGGCUGUUCGAUACAUUUGUACGGUGCAUGAACAACAAACACCCAACUUGCAUUCUAACAGACCAGUGCCCGUCAAUGGCGAAAGCUAUACCACAAUCAUUCCCAAAUACCAUCCACAAGCUAUGUCGUUGGCACAUCCUGAAGAAGUUCAACGAAUACCUCAUGUUGCUGUACAAAAAGUAUAAAACAUUCAAAGAGGAGUUCACAACUAUCUUAAACUGGCCGCUAAUGACAACAAAGUUUGAAGCUGUCUAGACUACGCUCGUGCAGAAGUACAACCUGCAGAACGACCAGAUGAUGAUGCAGCUCUGGAGUGAUAGGAAACUGUGGAUAUCAGCAUACUACAAGAACAUUUUCUGUGCUAGAAUGACUUCUACACAAUGA
rnacentral:rRNA from 1 species